rnacentral:tRNA from 1 species
GCCCGUGUUAGGAUUUGAGUUUGACAUGCUUGGUCUAAACCGUUGGCCCUCGACCACUACGACCCGGGUUCGAUUCCCGCAUUGGGCA